rnacentral:tRNA from 1 species
AUUACUUUGGCAGAUUAGUGCUUUAAAUUUAGAAUUUAAAUAUAUAUUAUUUUUAGUAUAAGUAAUA